AAAGAGUAGAGGCUAGAAACUACUAUAAAAAACGGGGAAAAUUCCGAAAAUCCAAAGAGUAGGAUAAUC
rfam:Polaribacter sp. Hel1_33_78 genome assembly, chromosome: I